AGACCCGAAACCCGGUGAUCUAGCCAUGGGCAGGUUGAAGGUUGGGUAACACUAACUGGAGGACCGAACCGACUAAUGUUGAAAAAUUAGCGGAUGACCUGUGGCUGGGGGUGAAAGGCCAAUCAAACCGGGAGAUAGCUGGUUCUCCCCGAAAGCUAUUUAGGUAGCGCCUCGUGAAUUCAUCUCCGGGGGUAGAGCACUGUUUCGGCUAGGGGGCCAUCCCGGCUUACCAACCCGAUGCAAACUGCGAAUACCGGAGAAUGUUAUCACGGGAGACACACGGCGGGUGCUAACGUCCGUCGUGAAGAGGGAAACAACCCAGACCGCCAGCUAAGGUCCCAAAGUCAUGGUUAAGUGGGAAACGAUGUGGGAAGGCCCAGACAGCCAGGAUGUUGGCUUAGAAGCAGCCAUCAUUUAAAGAAAGCGUAAUAGCUCACUGGUCGAGUCGGCCUGCGCGGAAGAUGUAACGGGGCUAAACCAUGCACCGAAGCUGCGGCAGCGAACGUAUCACUUAAAGCGAUUCAGCGGGUUACGAUUGACGGAGCGAAGCGACGUCAAAGCGUAUACAAAGUCGAGUCGGUUUAAGGAUACGUUCGUUGGGUAGGGGAGCGUUCUGUAAGCCUGUGAAGGUGUGUCGUGAGGCAUGCUGGAGGUAUCAGAAGUG
rnacentral:rRNA from 1 species